rnacentral:rRNA from 1 species
AUGGGAUAAUGGUUAAAUAUUUUAUAGCUUUAGUAUUUUAUUAAUUUUAUUAAAUUGUAAUUAAAAUAAGAAUAUUUUAAUAAGUUAAGGGGACGAUAAGACCCUAUAAAGCUUUAUAAGUGAAUAUUUAUUAAGCUGGGGAAGUUAAGAUAUUAUAUUUAUUUUUUAAAAAAACUUAAGAUAAAUGAUUUAAUUUGAUUAAUUUAAAUAAUUAAUUAUAGAAAAAGUUACUUUAGGGAUAACAGCAUAAUAUUUCUAGAAAGAUCUUAUUGACAGAAUAGUUUGUGACCUCGAUGUUGAAUUAAAUAUUCUGUUAGAGGUAAAAAAAAAACAAUAGGGUUUGUUCAACCUUUAAAUGUUUACAUGAUUU